rnacentral:rRNA from 1 species
AGUCGAGCGGUAGCACAGAGAGCUUGCUCUCGGGUGACGAGCGGCGGACGGGUGAGUAAUGUCUGGGAAACUGCCUGAUGGAGGGGGAUAACUACUGGAAACGGUAGCUAAUACCGCAUAAUGUCGCAAGACCAAAGUGGGGGACCUUCGGGCCUCAUGCCAUCAGAUGUGCCCAGAUGGGAUUAGCUAGUAGGUGGGGUAACGGCUCACCUAGGCGACGAUCCCUAGCUGGUCUGAGAGGAUGACCAGCCACACUGGAACUGAGACACGGUCCAGACUCCUACGGGAGGCAGCAGUGGGGAAUAUUGCACAAUGGGCGCAAGCCUGAUGCAGCCAUGCCGCGUGUGUGAAGAAGGCCUUCGGGUUGUAAAGCACUUUCAGCGGGGAGGAAGGCGUUAAGGUUAAUAACCUUGUCGAUUGACGUUACCCGCAGAAGAAGCACCGGCUAACUCCGUGCCAGCAGCCGCGGUAAUACGGAGGGUGCAAGCGUUAAUCGGAAUUACUGGGCGUAAAGCGCACGCAGGCGGUCUGUCAAGUCGGAUGUGAAAUCCCCGGGCUCAACCUGGGAACUGCAUUCGAAACUGGCAGGCUAGAGUCUUGUAGAGGGGGGUAGAAUUCCAGGUGUAGCGGUGAAAUGCGUAGAGAUCUGGAGGAAUACCGGUGGCGAAGGCGGCCCCCUGGACAAAGACUGACGCUCAGGUGCGAAAGCGUGGGGAGCAAACAGGAUUAGAUACCCUGGUAGUCCACGCCGUAAACGAUGUCGAUUUGGAGGUUGUGCCCUUGAGGCGUGGCUUCCGGAGCUAACGCGUUAAAUCGACCGCCUGGGGAGUACGGCCGCAAGGUUAAAACUCAAUGAAUUGACGGGGGCCCGCACAAGCGGUGGAGCAUGUGGUUUAAUUCGAUGCAACGCGAAGAACCUUACCUGGUCUUGACAUCCACAGAACUUUCCAGAGAUGGAUUGGUGCCUUCGGGAACUGUGAGACAGGUGCUGCAUGGCUGUCGUCAGCUCGUGUUGUGAAAUGUUGGGUUAAGUCCCGCAACGAGCGCAACCCUUAUCCUUUGUUGCCAGCGGUUAGGCCGGGAACUCAAAGGAGACUGCCAGUGAUAAACUGGAGGAAGGUGGGGAUGACGUCAAGUCAUCAUGGCCCUUACGACCAGGGCUACACACGUGCUACAAUGGCAUAUACAAAGAGAAGCGACCUCGCGAGAGCAAGCGGACCUCAUAAAGUAUGUCGUAGUCCGGAUUGGAGUCUGCAACUCGACUCCAUGAAGUCGGAAUCGCUAGUAAUCGUAGAUCAGAAUGCUACGGUGAAUACGUUCCCGGGCCUUGUACACACCGCCCGUCACACCAUGGGAGUGGGUUGCAAAAGAAGUAGGUAGCUUAACCUUCGGGAGGGCGCUACCACUUGAU